ACAUCAGUGUGACAGUACAUUUCUUUUGAAAUGCAACUCAAAAUCCACUUCCUCCAGGAGGAAUGCCAAGUGGCGUCCCGGAACAGGACAAGUUGUACUUCACAGGAGAUGGGAAGCUAGAGGGUGGAAACGCCAUCAUUAAUCCACCAAGCGGCAGGGGGUGGGGGCGCUUGCUUCCAAUAGGCAUGGCUGGAAAAAUCAGCAGCUCCGGGUUGUGCUCCUGCCUGUGUCCCUGCCAUGACUGUGAAGGGCUAAGAACACAGCAGAAAAGGCACCUGAAAAUCUAAAUGGUCACAUUGAAAUGCUGAAGAGUUGGUGAGAAACUUGGUCUGGAGACAACUCAUCUGCCGCUUCAAUCAAGUCACUUCAGCAUUCUGGGCCUCAGUUUUCACAUCUAUAAAGUGAGAAGCUUGGACCAGGUAAUCUAUGUGUUUCUUUCAGGAAAAAAAAAAUGCAAAAAUUUGGAAGUUUGGUGCUAUGCUACUGAAACAGAAGGUUACAGUCAUGUUAGGUAAAUUGAUGGAUGCUAGACAGAAAGAUAUAAUUAUUGAGUUCUUAGGCAAAUCUAUGGGUGAAAGGCAUGAAAGGAUAUUGCUCAUAAGUUAAAAUUAAAGCCAGACUUACACACCGUAUAUAUACAUAUACUUGAGACAGGGUUUUGCUCUGUCACCCAGGCUGGAGUGCAAUGGUGCGUUCACAGCUCACUGCAGCCUGGACCUCCUGGGCUCAAGUAAUCCUCCCACCUCAGCCUCCCGGGUAGCUAGAACCACAGGUGCACCACCACACCUGGCAAACUUUUUGUAUUUUUUUGUAGAGAAAAGGUUUCAACAUGUUGUCCAGGCUGGUCAUGAACUCCUGAGCUCAAGUGAUCCACUUGCCUUGGCUUCCCAAAGUUCUGGGAUUACAGGCAUGAGCCACCAUGCCUGGCCCACACCAUAUUUUUUUGAGGGGUAAGGAGCACUCAUGAGAAAAUGAAUUAGUAGACAUUAUUGAUAUUUUCAAAACCCUAUAACAAGAUCUGUGAAAAGUCUAUCACCCUAUUUCCCUUACAUUAAUGAUAACUCAAUUUUCCUCCAUUAUGGCCAGGGACAUGCCUAAGAGACAGAAAAUAAAAGGCAUGAAAAUAAAAGGGUAAUUUUUCUCAAUGAGGAGCUAAAAAGAACAGAGAUUGGCCUCAGAAUAUUUUGUCAUGCAGAAACAAAUAAAACUGAUAUUAAGUAUCUCUAGUUUGUGAAUGUCAAUUCAAUGGGAACAAGCUCUUGUAUAAUCUUAUAAAGCUGAGUAUUUUAGGUAAACCAAAUUAUAUUUAUAAGGUGAUAGGCAACUAAAGGACCAGUUAAGACAAAGGGCAGUGACUUGAGAGUCACCAUAUUCACAAAAGAUAGUUGCCUCUAGACUCUAGAGAGUGUGAGAGCUGAAAAGAGUAAAACAGGCUGGGCAACAUCAAUUACCCCUAAUGGGAUGUGGGUUACUUUGAAUGAAAUAUGAAUCAGAAACACUAUCCUCUCAUUAUAAAAACCAUGGGGGCCUCCAGACCAGGAAGCUGUGAGCCAAAUCCUGGCUGCUGAAUGUUAAGGAAGACACAAUUGAGUUAAAAAGUUUAUGUCAGAGGGUAGAAAUGCUGCCUCAUGAUGUCAGGGUUUUAAAAAUGGGCCUACUCUAGAAAUAAAAAGGCUUGACAUGGAAUAUGAUCAGCUAUAAAAGUGUUAACCUUCAGAAGAGAACAAACUGAUGUUUGCAAAAUGCCAGAAAGUAGAGGAAGACCCAGUGAAGCUGAAAAAUACAUGCACAAUAGAUUCUACAGCUAUGAAUUUCAUUACCUCAAGAAGAUACCAAGAAUGAUAAUUUGGACAAUUUUCUAUAAGAAUUAGCUAAUAACCUUUUGGGUUCGAUUAUUCACUGACUGAAAGGAUUCAAAUGUUUUCAGGGUAAUAUCAUGGGAGGGCUGUUUUUUCAUCUUGGUCUUGAAACCAAUAGCCAGACAAAUUUUCUUUCACAUUCAACAGAUCAUAAAAGGUAAUAAGUUUUAUGGUGACUUCUGAGGAAUCUCAUACUGUUGGAGCAGCUAUCUAAUGUCAAGUUUAGAAUUCACAUUCAGAGGAAACAACUUUCUGCAGAUUUUCUUUUCCCAUACCAACCACCUGACAAAAGGAGCAAUCAGCUCCCAAGGUGGUGCCUCCCCUUCCAAGAGUGGUUCUGACUGUCUGUCCAGAGAAAGGAAAUCCUAAGUGUCUGGUGCAUCAGCUGGACAUUACUGUGCCAAUCAGCCUUUUUACCCUCUUGAAAUACUUAGAUAGUUACAACAAGCAUAUAAGUGAAUCGUUACAAUCUCACUCAGAAUCUAAAAUACUAUCCUACGUCAGGCAACUAACAAUAAAAGUAAAAUUAGACUGAUGUGACCACACGAACAACAGAAGACACUGGAUGCAAAGUUUGGUGGCAUAAUCACUUGAAACGUACAACAGAGGUAACCCAGUGCAUAUUUAGGCUCUUGUGAGGUAACAGUGAUUAGUGUAAAUAGGCUUACGGAAUGAUUGAUCAAAAACCAAGUGUUGGCUGGGCGCGGUGGCUCAAGCCUGUAAUCCCAGCACUUUGGGAGGCCGAGACGGGUGGAUCACGAGGUCAGGAGAUCGAGACUAUCCUGGCUAACACGGUGAAACCCCGUCUCUACUAAAAAAUACAAAAAACUAGCCGGGCGAGGUGGCGGGCGCCUGUAGUCCCAGCUACUCGGAAGGCUGAGGCAGGAGAAUGGCGUGAACCCGGGAGGCGGAGCUUGCAGUGAGCUGAGAUCCGGCCACUGCACUCCAGCCUGGGCGACAGAGCGAGACUCCGUCUCAAAAAAAAAAAAAAAACCAAGUGUUAAAAUGAGUUCUUUUGGGAAUCCCUUUAAGAAAGCUCUGAGGGUCCCAGACGGGCAUAAAGAUCAGGUGGCUGGGCAGUGCUUGGUCAGUGGUGGCCAUGGCUGCACAAGAGGAGGCAGAGCUCAGUCUUAGGUGGGUCACACCUCUGUGGUUCUGCUUGGCUGGUUUUCUGUAGUGCUAUACUUGAAUAUACAGCUACAGCUGUCUUGAGAGCUGUCUCUAUCUACUUUUUUUCCUCUGAAAAAUGAAGUUACUGAAAGCAAAGUGUGUUUCUUGAGUGUGUCUUUAUCCUUGACGAGUGUUAAGGAUAUGGAGUACAUACAAAAUAACAAACCCAGGUCUGCUAUUAUUGUCUAUUUUAAGCUUCAGCAGACUUCUUGAACUCCUAGAAAAGAGAAGGAAGAGACAGCGGGGGCAUGAUACAACCAGGUACAACCUGGGUUCAACUAAAGAAGACACAAGGAAGGUAGGCAUGACUUUUAGGGCGAACUUCAGAGAGAAGAGAAUGGCUGCUCUCAAUCUCUUUGAAGGAAAAACUUAUGCAAGACUCCCAACUUGCUCACAAUCUGCAUAAAUGCAUCUAAGAAAUUGAGUAAAUUACCUUUGUCCUCACUUGAGGGAUAUCUAAUAAUAAUCCCAAGCUUUAUUCUUUGGUGGGGCAAUACACACAGCCAACACACACAGGCAAAACUGCCCCAGUUGUUAAAAAUGAUGAAGUAUUUCUGUAUUCCUUGGAAAAGAACUGCUCUCUAAACCACCAGAAUGCUAUCAGCUAUCCCAUCUGCCCCAGCUCCUCAAAUGGGACUCCCCAGACCUCUGCCCACUCCAGCCAGGGGGAAUGCCUGGCCCCGAAGAUCACUGCUGCAGCUCUAGAGUGUUCAUGCUGACUGACUGGUGUCUGGACUACACUGAUUGUGAAGUUAUCCUAUCUGUUCUCAGGCAAUGGUCAGAAGUGACACUGCUGGCUAAGCCAGAGAGUUAUUAAAGUAACCUAGUGCAGGAUGACAAGGAAGAUGGGUAGAGAUGGAAGAAGAGACUAGCCCAAGGUUGCCUGGGGAUGGGGAGUGAGGGGCUGUUAGUGCUGAAGCCUUCUGAGCUCACUAUAUGAAGGAUUCUCCUUGGUCCUGAGUGGCAUGGCAAUACCCAUUUACCGCCUCUAGGAGAACCUGGGAGGAACACAUCACAGCUAAGAAGCAACAGGAACCCCGGAGGGGAAAAGUCUUACAUAAAUAUGCAAGAGGAUUAAAAACAGAAAAAGAGAAUAUUAAUCCAAACCACAAGUGUAUUUUCAGACUGCCAAGGUCCUGAACUUCUGCGUCUUACGCACCUCGGUGUGAAUGGUGCUUUUACCAAACUAAGAGAGAAUUUAACUCAACUGAGGGACUUAUAAGGGAGGUUAAGGGAAAAGUUCCAGAUGGGGUAGUAUAAAAAUGCAGAAAGAGCAUAUAAUUCCUUUAAAGAGUAAAUGUCACCAAAGGCCCCAAUUUAGCACAUGCCUGUGUAUCCUCAGAACUCACUGCACUUAUAAAAUAUCCCUUCGGGGCAUGGCAUGAAAUUUGACUAUGCAGUAAGAUUUCCCUUCAUUUAGCAUAUGUUUAUUGUGUUUACAUAUUUGGUCUCAGAGCCAAAAAUACACACAGAGAGGCCCCAGGGCAAACUUUUAAGCAGAUGAAAAAUUUUUGUGACUACUUCUUCCAUCUUCUUUUCACCUCCUGUUGCUCUCCGGUGGUCAAUCUAACCCCCUCUGAGGGAUGAGUGCUUUCAGCUCAAGUGG
rnacentral:lncRNA from 1 species